rnacentral:lncRNA from 1 species
UCCAAUGGAUAGGUAAUUGUACCUCUCAGCCACACACUUUCUUGCUGAGCUAUAUAAUGGUUCAUGAGCUCUUAACUGAGACUUAUAAAAGUGUUCUCAAUUGUUAGUUCAAGGUCUGUAGCCAGCUUAGAAAUUGUUAAAAUGUACAAAAUAAAUGAGAAAAAAACAGCAAGGAAAGAAAUUCUAGGUCAUGCUUUUAUGAGCUGCUUGACAAAAAAAAAGCAG